rnacentral:rRNA from 1 species
ACGGGUGAGUAAUGUCUGGGAAACUGCCUGAUGGAGGGGGAUAACUACUGGAAACGGUAGCUAAUACCGCAUAACGUCGCAGGACCAAAGUGGGGGACCUUCGGGCCUCACGCCAUCAGAUGUGCCCAGAUGGGAUUAGCUAGUAGGUGGGGUAACGGCUCACCUAGGCGACGAUCCCUAGCUGGUCUGAGAGGAUGACCAGCCACACUGGAACUGAGACACGGUCCAGACUCCUACGGGAGGCAGCAGUGGGGAAUAUUGCACAAUGGGCGCAAGCCUGAUGCAGCCAUGCCGCGUGUGUGAAGAAGGCCUUCGGGUUGUAAAGCACUUUCAGCGAGGAGGAAGGCAGUAAGGUUAAUAAGCUUGCUGAUUGACGUUACUCGCAGAAGAAGCACCGGCUAACUCCGUGCCAGCAGCCGCGGUAAUACGGAGGGUGCAAGCGUUAAUCGGAAUGACUGGGCGUAAAGCGCACGCAGGCGGUUUGUUAAGUUGGAUGUGAAAUCCCCGGGCUUAACCUGGGAACGGCAUUCAAAACUGGCAAGCCAGAGUCUCGUAGAGGGGGGUAGAAUUCCAGGUGUAGCGG